GAACUGUAGCUCAACGGUAGAGCGCUUCCCAAAAGGAAGAGGGUGCAGGUUCGAUUCCUGUCAGUUCUA
rnacentral:tRNA from 1 species